GAUGAAGAACGUAGCGAAAUGCGAUACGUAAUGUGAAUUGCAAAUUCAGUGAAUCAUCGAGUCUUUGAACGCACAUUGCGCCCCCUGGUAUUCCGGGGGGCAUGCCUGUCCGAGCGUCAUUGCUGCCCUCAAGCACGGCUUGUGUGUUGGGCCCCGUCCUCCGAUCCCGGGGGACGGGCCCGAAAGGCAGCGGCGGCACCGCGUCCGGUCCUCGAGCGUAUGGGCUUUGUCACCCGCUCUGUAGGCCCGGCCGGCGCUUGCCGAUCAACCCAAAUUUUUAUCCAGGUUGACCUCGGAUCAGGUAGGGAUACCCGCUGAACUUAAGCAUAUCAAUAAGCGGAGGA
rnacentral:misc_RNA from 1 species